GGUUUCGUGGUGUAGUUGGUUAUCACGUCAGUCUAACACACUAAGGUCUCCGGUUCGAUUCCGGGCGAAGCUA
rfam:Brassica oleracea var. oleracea cultivar TO1000 chromosome C8, whole genome shotgun sequence